GUGUCAUAUGUUCUAUAAUAUCGAUCAUUCGGAGGUUUUAUUACGCCCUCUAGAAUAUAGGAAUAAUGAUUAGGGACAAAAAUCAAACGAUCUCGUCGAAUAUAGUAAUUAUUCCGUUUAAACAAGAUUAAAGAAACUUCCAAUCAUCGAAUUCAUUUAUUUGAAAGUGAACUGCUAUUAUAUGAACGAGAAAUCGUUCAAAUAAACGGAAUUCUAUAAAGUAUCGCAUAUUCAAUCCAAACAUGGAAGUUGAUGCAGUUAGAAAUAAAUACAAGAUACUGCGGUCAUCGAUGCAGAACAGAAUAGACGUGAUAAUGAAAUAUUUCUGCAUGUCCAGCGAUUUAAAGGAUCUCCCGGGAAUAUGAGGAGAGAACCCUGCCGGGGUGCGAGUGAACGGGUGCGAGGUAUAAUAUCGGCAUUAAUUAUAUUACCCUUCGUGUAAUAGGCAAGCCGCUUUAGUGCCUAAUUAUUUCGUGAUUGGGUCGUCCCUUUCUAGAAGCUAACGCCUACCCGGAAUAAAUUGCAGGCUGUAAUAUUUCCACGGUAUUCGUUCUAAUGUGCACGUCGACGCUUUUGAUAUAUAGCAGCUCGUGCAAGUAUUCGAAUAUCUCUGGAAGAUUGUUAUGUA